GCAUAUCAAUAAGCGGAGGAAAAAGAAACUAACAAGGAUUCCCCUAGUAACUGCGAGUGAAGCGGGAAAAGCUCAAAUUUAAAAUCUGGCGACCUUUGGCCGUCCGAGUUGUAAUCUAGAGAAGCGUUAUCCGCGCUGGACCGUGUACAAGUCUCCUGGAAUGGAGCGUCAUAGAGGGUGAGAAUCCCGUCUUUGACACGGACUGCCAGGGCUUUGUGAUACGCUCUCAAAGAGUCGAGUUGUUUGGGAAUGCAGCUCAAAAUGGGUGGUAAAUUCCAUCUAAAGCUAAAUAUUGGCGAGAGACCGAUAGCGAACAAGUACCGUGAGGGAAAGAUGAAAAGAACUUUGGAAAGAGAGUUAAACAGUACGUGAAAUUGCUGAAAGGGAAACGCUUGAAGUCAGUCGCGUCGUCUGGGAAUCAACCUUGCUUUUGCUGGGCGUACUUUCCAGACGACGGGCCAGCAUCAAUUUUGACCGUUGGAUAAAGGUUGGAGGAAUGUGGCAUCCUCGGAUGUGUUAUAGCCUCCAGCCGCAUACAACGGUUGGGAUUGAGGAACUCAGCACGCCGCAAGGCCGGGUACUUGUACCACGUUCGUGCUUAGGAUGCUGGCAUAAUGGCUUUAAUCGACCCGUCUUGAAACACGGACCAAGGAGUCUAACAUGCCUGCGAGUAUUUGGGUGGAAAACCCGAGUGCGUAAUGAAAGUGAAAGUUGAGAUCCCUGUCAUGGGGAGCAUCGACGCCCGGACCAGACCUUUUGUGACGGAUCUGCGGUAGAGCAUGUAUGUUGGGACCCGAAAGAUGGUGAACUAUGCCUGAAUAGGGUGAAGCCAGAGGAAACUCUGGUGGAGGCUCGUAGCGAUUCUGACGUGCAAAUCGAUCGUCAAAUUUGGGUAUAGGGGGCGAAAGACUAAUCGAACCAUCUAGUAGCUGGGUUCCUGCCGAAGUUU
rnacentral:rRNA from 1 species